rnacentral:rRNA from 1 species
UACGGAGGGGGCCAGCGUUGCUCGGAAUUAUUGGGCGUAAAGGGCGCGUAGGCGGCUUGGUAAGUUUGAUGUGAAAUCCCAUGGCUCAACCAUGGAACUGCAUCUCAUACUGCCGAGCUAGAGUCUGGGAGAGGGAAGCGGAAUUCCCGGUGUAGCGGUGAAAUGCGUAGAUAUCAGGAGGAACACCAGUGGCGAAGGCGGCUUCCUGGACCAGCACUGACGCUGAUGCGCGAAAGCUAGGGGAGCAAACAGG